GACGAACGCUGGCGGCGUGCUUAACACAUGCAAGUCGAACGGAAAGGCCCUGCUUGUGUGGGGUGCUCGAGUGGCGAACGGGUGAGUAACACGUGAGUAACCUGCCCUUGACUGUGGGAUAACUUCAGGAAACUGGUGCUAAUACCGGAUAGGAGCUCCUGCUGCAUGGUGGGGGUUGGAAAGUUUCGGCGGUUGGGGAUGGACUCGCGGGUUAUCAGCUUGUUGGUGGGGGAGUGGCUUACCAAGGCUUUGGCGGGUAGCCGGCAUGAGAGGGUGGACGGGCACCAUGGGACUGAGAGACGGAGCAGACUGCUACGGGAGGCAGCAGUGGGGAAUAUUGCACAAUGGGCGGAAGCCUGAUGCAGAAACGCCGCGUGCGGGAUGACGGCCUUCGGGUUGUAAACCGCUUUAGCCUGUGACGAAGCGUGAGUGACGGUAAUGGGUAAAGAAGCACCGGCUAACUACGUG
rnacentral:rRNA from 1 species